UAACACGUGAGUGACCUGCCUUUUAGACUGGAACAACUUACCGAAAGGUGAGCUAAUGCCGGAUGAGUUAUAUAAGUGCAUGUUUAUAUAGGAAAAGUUGGGGAGACCUGACGCUGAAAGAUGGACUCGCGUCCCAUUAGCUAGUUGGUAGGGUAAUGGCCUACCAAGGCGACGAUCAGUAGCCGGCCUGAGAGGGUGAACGGCCACAUUGGGACUGAGACACGGCCCAGACUCCUACGGGAGGCAGCAG
rnacentral:rRNA from 1 species